rnacentral:lncRNA from 1 species
AGGCCGAGGUGCCAAGAAGCUUUACUGUUAGUGUAGUCCAUAUGGUGAAUGUGAUAGGACAAGGAAAGAACAAAUGGUCUCUACUUUCUUCCUUCUCUCCACAGAACAUACAACCUUGUGGGAUCCCCCACUGCCAGAUAAGAACACCUGUGGAGAGCUAUCCUUGAAAGCCAGCAAGACGAUGAAAGUAUGACGUGGUACGCC